GGCCAGACUCCUACGGGAGGCAGCAGUGGGGAAUAUUGCACAAUGGGGGAAACCCUGAUGCAGCAACGCCGCGUGAGUGAAGAAGUAUUUCGGUAUGCAAAGCUCUAUCAGCAGGGAAGAGAAUGACGGUACCUGACUAAGAAGCCCCGGCUAACUACGUGCCAGCAGCCGCGGUAAUACGUAGGGGGCGAGCGUUAUCCGGAUUUACUGGGUGUAAAGGGGGCGCAGACGGCGAUGCAAGCCAGGAGUGAAAGCCCGGGGCCCAACCCCGGGACUGCUCUUGGAACUGCGUGGCUGGAGUGCAGGAGGGGCAGGCGGAAUUCCUGGUGUAGCGGUGAAAUGCGUAGAUAUCAGGAGGAACACCGGUGGCGAAGGCGGCCUGCUGGACUGCAACUGACGUUGAGGCCCGAAAGCGUGGGGAGCAAACAGGAUUAGAUACCCUGGUAUGU
rnacentral:rRNA from 1 species